AUCUCCUUAAAAUCUCUUAAAAUCUCUCCCUAAAAUCCGUAAUCUAUGUUUCCAUCUCCGUAAAUCUUGCUACGUUACAGCAUGCAGCUGCAGAGUGUUGCAAUGGUCUCGAGAGCCCACUGAAUAGUAUAUUACUGUCAUUGCUGUUUCCUCUACUGCAACUGCACUGAGUUCACUGUUGCACAGCUAUAGGUUGUUUUAUCACUGGAUCCUCCUCCUAAAAGUGGGCUGCGCAUGAAGCUAAAGAAGCUUAUAGCAACUGAACAGGAGCAAACACCGCAGUCACUACCUGACAUAUAUACACAAGGAAUUGCUGGUGAUGAGUCUGCGAUAAGUGACCAGAUAAGUGCAAGCUUCAGCAUGGUUACCGACUACGCAUACGACUGGCAUAGUGAUGAAAGUUUGGUCAUGGACCACAGUGACACCCUUAUUGCUGGACUUGAUCUGUCGGCAACUGAUAGUGUGACACCACACGACGAUGGUGAUGGUGAUGUUGUGCAGAAAUUAGUAGCUCGUGAGCCGGCAAUUAUUAAAACGAGUUGCAGUCCACUUCCAAACCCUUGUCCUGUCCCAGAAGUAUUCAGUCUAGUAAGAGGGUAAUGCUGGCCCUGAGUAGCAACAAGCUUCAGG